rnacentral:rRNA from 1 species
AUGGGAGAUCUGAACGAUAUUGCACAUUCUUUUGAAAAAGAGGGGGGGAGACCUCGUCCAGACAUAUAUAUGAAGGCAUUCCGCGAUGCUCUUGAUGACUGUCAUCUUGUUGACUGUGGAUAUGUGGGAGAUAAAUUCACUUGGCAACGAGGCAUGAUCCGAGAAAGACUGGAUAAAGCACUUGCAAACGAUGGGUGGCAAAGGAAAUUUGCGAAUGCUACUGUACAUCAUCUGAAUUAUAGCAAGUCUGAUCAUAGGCCUAUUCUG